rnacentral:rRNA from 1 species
GAUGAACGCUAGCUACAGGCUUAACACAUGCAAGUCGAGGGGCAGCACAGUGUAGCAAUACAUGGGUGGCGACCGGCGCACGGGUGCGUAACGCGUAUCCAACCUUCCCGUUACUCUUGGAUAGCCUUCCGAAAGGGAGAUUAAUACAGGAUGGUGUUUGAAUUCCGCAUGUUAUUCAAACUAAAGAUUUAUCGGUAACGGAUGGGGAUGCGUGACAUUAGAUAGUAGGCGGGGUAACGGCCCACCUAGUCUACGAUGUCUAGGGGUUCUGAGAGGAAGGUCCCCCACACUGGAACUGAGACACGGUCCAGACUCCUACGGGAGGCAGCAGUGAGGAAUAUUGGUCAAUGGUCUGACGACUGAACCAGCCAUGCCGCGUGAAGGUCACGGCCCUAUGGGUCUUAAACUUCUUUUGCAAGGGAGCAAUAAGUCUCACGUGUGGGAUGAUGAGAGUACCUUGCGAAUAAGCAUCGGCUAACUCCGUGCCAGCAGCCG